rnacentral:lncRNA from 1 species
GUUGGAUUGUGUAUCAGAACAGGUUAAAUUUUAUUAGAAACUGACAAACUGUCUUCCAAAGAUGUGAACCUGCAGUGAGGGAGCUCCUGUUGCUCCACAUCCUCACCUGCAAUUGUAGUUGUUUGUGUUUUAGAUUUGGGCCAUUUUAAUUGAUGUGUGGUGCUAUCUCAUUGUUUGUUUUCAUUGUUUCUCUUUUGAAUUUUUUGGAUCAUCUUUAUUUGUUACUUCAGUGUGAGCUUCACAGAAAAAUUGAGCAGAAAGUACCGAGAGUUCCCCUGUGUGUCCUGUUCACAUAUUUUGCACAGUGUCUCUCACUAUGAACAUAUUGCACAGGAGUGGUAUGUUUGUUACAACUGAUGAACCUACACUGACACAUCAUAAUCACUGGAAGUUCAUAGUUCACAUUAGGAUUCACUGCUUGGUUGUACAUUCAAUGGUAUGUUUUCAUUUUUUAAAUUUCAUGUACAGUGCUGAGCUUUUUCACGUGAUUGUUUACCUUGCCAUUUGUGUGUCUUCCUCAAUGAGCUAAGUAUCCAGAUAUUUUGUCUAUUUUUAAUUGACUUAUUCAUUUUGUUUCUGAAUUUUAAGAAUUCUUUGCAUAUUUUAUUUAACAGUUCCAAAUCAGAUAUGCCUUUAGCAAAUAUUUUCUCCCAGUCUGUGGCUUUUCUUCUUAGUCUCUUGACAGUGUCUUUGUAAAACAGAAUUUUUCUAUUUUAAUGAAGUCUAAACUUUCAAUUAUUUCUUUCAUGAAUGAUGCCUCUGGUGGUGCAUCUGAAAAGGUAUUGCUAAGCAAAAGUCAUUUAGAUUUUCUCCAAUGUGAUUACCUAGAAGUUUUAUAGUUUUAUGUCUUACAUUUAGGUCUGUUGUCCAUUUUGAAUUAAUUUUUGU